CUGCCCCUCUGCUUGCCUAGCUGUGAAUACAGUAUAUGGUUAUAAGGAAUUAAAAAUUUACGCUCACCAUGAGGGCUAUCGUCCUGUUCGCUGUAGUGUUUGUGAUCCUCGUCUCGUCUCCAGAAGCAGAAGGAAAGAAUAAAGGAGGAGGUUGCACCAGGAACUCGGACUGCCCUCCCGGCGACAUCUGUUGCUCCGAAGGCUGCGCCAAAAGAUGUCACGACCCAUACAAGGACUGGAUACCCUAUUGAAUGUUUUUUUAAAACAUCGCACAUUCACUUUAUAUGAAAUACAGCAUUUCCGAUUUUGACUAUGUUCCAAGUCGUAUGUUGAUAUCCACAAGGAGAUUAUUUUAGUUUCGUUGAAUGAUGUAUUUCAUACAUGGAGCAACGGUUUCAAUGAAUAUGUUAAUUUACUUGAAAAUUUUUAUAAAUUAAUAAAAUUUCCUGAGUAGCUAUAGGCUGUAAUUGCUCUUUACAUUGAAUGGCCUUUAAGAGUGAAUAUUUUCGGAAAUACUCAUUAAUAAUUCGAUUAUUUACCAUUCAUUUAAAAAAAUUCAACAUAAUAUUUGGAAACUAUUUUUUUAGAAUAAAAUUGCAACGAGACGCUGAAAAUUAAUGUACUUCAAUGCGUAAUAAUGAUUCCAAAUUAAAAUGUUAUCCACAAUUG
rnacentral:lncRNA from 1 species